CCACUGUACACUACAGAGAUUUCGUGGAAAUCGUGAAAGCUGAAGCCCCACCUGAUAUGAGCUGUCCCUGCAGUCAGCAGGGCCACCCUGACCUAAACCAGGUGUUUGCAGGCUUUGCAAGACAGUGGAACUCUGAUGAUGGAUCCUGAAGCACAAGUUGGAGCCUAGAAAAGGAGGUUGAGAUAUGAAAACAUCAACCAUGGAAAUGCAGUGAUCAGAAUAAAAAGAGUCCAAGGGAGAGGUUCUCUCUAUAUAAGUGAACGCUUCUGUUGUUCCCUGUUGUGGUGUCCAAUAAGCACAGCCACUCGUGGUUUCUCAGGUCCCUCAGAGCACUUAUCCAGUCUCAUUUUAGCUCCUGCCUCAAGAAGCAGAUAAUUGUCCAUCUUUAAGAUUUUCACUGGAGUAG
rnacentral:lncRNA from 1 species